AACGAACGCUGGCGGCAUGCCUAACACAUGCAAGUCGAACGAAGUCUUCGGACUUAGUGGCGCACGGGUGCGUAACGCGUGGGAAUCUGCCCUUGGGUGCGGAAUAACUUCUCGAAAGGGAUGCUAAUACCGCAUAAUGUCGUAAGACCAAAGAUUUAUCGCCCAAGGAUGAGCCCGCGUAAGAUUAGCUAGUUGGUGGGGUAAAAGCCUACCAAGGCGACGAUCUUUAGCUGGUCUGAGAGGAUGAUCAGCCACACUGGGACUGAGACACGGCCCAGACUCCUACGGGAGGCAGCAGUGGGGAAUAUUGGACAAUGGGCGAAAGCCUGAUCCAGCAAUGCCGCGUGAGUGAUGAAGGCCCUAGGGUUGUAAAGCUCUUUUACCCGGGAUGAUAAUGACAGUACCGGGAGGAAUAAGCCCCGGCUAACUCCGUGCCAGCAGCCGCGGU
rnacentral:rRNA from 1 species